rnacentral:rRNA from 1 species
UGCCUCCCCAGUGCUUGCACUCGAUUGGCAAGAGGAGUGUCAGUACCGCUGAGUAGCAUCUGCCUUUCCUACCCAUCCGAGGGUGUGAUAACACUUGGCUAACUGGUGCUAAUACCGCAUAACAGUUUAUGCCGCAUGGCAUAAUACUGUUGCGUGCUUUCGGGAGUCUCUGAUGGAUGGACCCGUAGUGCAUGAGCUAGUUGGUGAGGUAACGGAUCACCCAUGCCACAACGCAUAGGCGACCUGAGAGGGUGAUCAGUGACACUGGGACUGAGAUACUACCCAAACUCCUACUAGAGGCUCCACUACGGAGUCUUCGGCUAUGAACGAAAGUCUGACCGAGCGUCACCACGGGAGUGAGAACGGAUUUCUCAGCUGAUAACUCUGAUGUUAGAUAAGAACGAGGACGUUAGCAACUGACCGUCCCCUGACGGAAUCUAACCAGAAAGUCACGGCUAACUACCUGCCAACAACCGCGGUAAUACGUAUGUGGCAAAUGUUGUGCGGAUUUAUUGAGCGUAAAGGGAGCAUAAGCUGUUUCUUAAGUCUGAUGGGAUAGCCCCCGGCUCAACCGGGGAGGUGCAUUGGAAACUGGGAGACUAGAAUGCAGAAGAUGAGAUGGUAAUUCCGUGGGUAAA